UAAGAGAACGGGUUUGUAAGACACUUUUCCACAAGAUGCAUCUGAUUGCAGCGCGAAGAGUGAAUGAAGCGACUGCUAGAAUGGAAGCAGCGAAUGCUGCAAUCGCCGUUAACCCGGAAAGCAGAGGUGUCGAGCUAUUACAAGCAGGAGGUGCUGCUCGAGCUCGCUGCUCACGAGGUUUCUGUCGGUAGAAGAUCGUCACUCACGGCGAAGUAAGGACGGUCAUCAGCAACAUGUCUGCAGCAAGAGCACCGACGGCCGCCGGACUGUCGCCAACGUUUCGCGAUACAACAACUACUGCGACGACGAAGUCGUUGCAGCCAAUCUGGUUCAGAAUACUUGAAGAACAAAUGGAGGCAGUGGGUAUAACGGACGAUCGGUCCAAGUGCAGAGCCCUCGUCGGCUGCCUCGAGCCUCGAUACCUGGAGUAGAUCGAGGACGUGUAUACGACCCUCCCAGCCGUCGGACGGGACGAUAAGCUUAAGACCGAGCUAACGCACGUCUUCGGGGAAUCGGACGACGAAAAAUUUAAAAAGUUGGUGGGAAAGGAAGAGAUUGGCGACAGAAAACCUUCGAGAUUCUACCACGAUCUCAGAAGACUCGCCGGUCCUCUCGCAUCGGACAAGUUCAUCCUCACCCUGUGGAAGAACCGCCUACCAGCACAGGUCAGACGCUUCUUGGCUGGGGUCGACGGCGACGACGUAGCGAGAAUGUUGUGGAUAGCCAACGAGGUACACGAAGACUACUCAGUUAGCGACUAGCGCGCACCUCGUCUGAUAGCCAUCGCCGAGCAGCCGGUACGACCUGCGGCAACAGGCGAAUCUUGGCUCUCCGUCGUCAACGCCCUCAGCGAACAGAUAACCCAACUGCGGGCGGAAGUGCGCGCGUCGAAAUGCGAUCAUCCUUCUAGACGACGAACUGACCCGGGGAGACGUAACAGGCCGAGAUCGAGAGAAAGGUCGGGAAAACCCGAUUUUUGCUUUUACCACCGAAAGUUCGAGGACCGGGCAUACAAGUGCCAGUCUCCUCGCAAAUGGAUGCAGGGAAAUGGGACCAGCCGUCCGUAAAGGCGGCAGACGACGAUGGUCUGGGAUCCCGCCGCAUUUUCGUUACCGAUAAGGCGACGCUGAUUUCUUUCCUUAUGGACACCGACGCCGUCAUAAGCGUUUAUCCCCGCAGCAAAAAGUACGAAUUGUUCGCAGCCAACAGGACGCGGAUCUCAACGUACGGCACCAUCGCCGUCAGCCUCAACCUGUCCCUUCGAAGAGCGUUCACAUAGCAAUUCGUGAUAGCUGACGUUCAAUCACCUAUCAUCGGCGUGGAUUUUUUGAACCGCUAUGAGUUACUCGUGGACCCGCGAAAUAAGCGACUUAUCAAUACGACGACCCAAUUGACAGCAAGGGAAUACACCGACACGACGGACGGGGCGUCCAUAAGAACUAUAGUCGGCGAAUCAGUCUACCAUCGACUCGUGAUUGAAUUCCCGGACCUAACUCGUCCACCCAUUUUCGGACGAGAGAAGAUACGACACGGGGUGGUACACCACAUCGAAACCACACCGGGCCCACCAAUCUACAGCAAACCCCGUCGCCUUGCACCCGAUCGCCUCAAAGAAGUUAAGGCGGAGUUUCAAGCUAUGAUCGAGCAAGGAUGCGGCCAUCGAAAAGUCCAUGGGCAUCAUCCCCGCACGUUGCACCGAAAAAGGACGGAAGCCUGCGACCAUGUGGCGACUACCGCGCGUUAAACGCCCGCACCAUACGCGACAGGUAUUCCCCACCCCAUAUUAAAGAUUUUGCGCAACAUCUCCACGGUAAGCGAAUCUUUUAAAAAAUCGACCUCGUUCGCGCUUACCAUCAAAUACCGAUCGCGCCCGAAGACGUACAGAAAACCGCGAUCACGACACCUUUCGGGUUUUUCAAAGCGGCCAACAUGAUGUUUGGGCUUCGAAACGCCGCACAAACUUGCCAGCGAUUCGUAGACGAAAUCACACGAGGUCUCGAUUUCGUCUACGUGUACAUAGACGAUUUUUUAAUAGCGUUCUAAAAUGAAAAACAGUACUGCGAACGCUUGCGAGUUCAGUUUAAACGCCUCGACGAAUAUGAGGUCGUAAUCAAUCUCGCGAAAAGUGAAUUCGGCGUUAGCGAAAUGAAAUUUCUCGGUUACACGGUUACCGCCGAGGGGAUAAAGCCACUUGCUAAACGCAUCGACGCCGUAACUAAAGUACCGCUACCCGCGACUAUUAAAGAUUUACGAAAAUACCUCGGUAUGGUUAACUUUUACAGACGUUUCAUACCGGGGGCAGCGAAAAUCCUACAAAACACUUGUGGCGGCACUCGACAAGCCAAAUACCACCACUCGACACUAACUAGUGCCGGACGACGGCAGCGCAGUGGUUAACGUCUUAGGUUGCGAACGUUCGGAACCCGGGUUCGAAUCCCGACGACCGGAGUCCGAUUUUACUCCCACGCACCAAAAAACGGCAGUACCCCGGCAGCGACAUCUACAGCCCCCAGUGACAAUUACAGCGGACCAGGCCCAACUACUACACAACUAUAACUCACGGUCACCUCAAAUUGGUGACCCCGACGUGAUUUUAAGUGAAAGAGGUGACCUUGAUAGUACUUGUGAGAUUUCAAACGCCGCGAAGUUAAGACAGUGCAAAAUGACCGAUACCGCAGAUUUUGAACAUGCGACGGUCGGGGUGGCAAAGUAGACUCGAUAAACGCACUCCUCCGUGUACCACCUUUCUGGCCUGACGAUGUUGAGUUGUGGUUUACGAUGCUGGAAGUGCAGUUCGCAACUGCUCGGAUCACGAGCGACCAGGAAAAAUUCCAGACCGCUGUUGCACACCUCGAUAAGUCGCACGUGAGAUUAAUCCGAGACGUAUUGACCGCCCCACCGACGACCGGAUGUUACGAGUUCGUCAAAAAGGAGCUCAUCAAGAGACUGGGAGAAUCGGACGUCAAGAGACUCCGACAAGUAAUCGAGAAGGAACAAAUGGGCGAUAGGAAGCCAUCCCAGUUCUACCGAGAUCUAAGAAAUUUAGCCACCAACGCGUUAGCGGACGAUUUCAUUCUUACAGUCUGGGAAGGCCGACUCCUGCUGCGCGUGAGGAGCAUCCUAGCCUCCAUAUAGAGCAAAGACCCAGAAACCCGCAUCCAAAUCGCCGAUAGCAUCUUCGAAACCACCCUGGAAACAGGGCAGAUCGUCGCGGCCAGCGCAGUCCAACUACCCGCGGCAACCCACACAACCGGUCAGAACAGCGGAAUAGGUGACCCCGUGGCAACCGCCUUCAACACGUUGAACGAACGGUUAGCGCGAAUGGACGCCUGUAUGGCCCAGAUGCGAGCGCAAUUUGCCGAGCUGAGAACUGACGUACAUCGCCGACCACGAUCACAAUCGCGUUCACGUACACAAUUCCGCCGCCGUCCGCGUUCCCGCGAGCAGCCGCGGCAAGAUGGACUAUGCUACUACCACGCACAGCACCGAGAACGAGCGAGAAAGUGCACAUUCCUAUGCUCUUGAAAUUCGGGAAACGGAACCAGCCGUCCGUAAAAGCGACAAACGACGACGGUUUAGCAUCUCGCCGCAUAUUCGUAACGGAUAAGAACUCGCGAAUCUCCUACCUUAUCGAUACCGGCGCCGAUAUUUGCGUAUUCCCGCGCAGCAAGUUACACGGGCAACGUGAGCAAAAGCGAGUACGAGUUGUUCGCGGCCAACGGGACACGGAUCACAACAUACGGUACCGUCGCGAUCAAUCUAAACCUGUCCCUACGCAGAGCAUUCAAAUGGAACUUUACGGUAGCCCACGUCAAAACACCCAUCAUCGGCAUGGACUUCCUAAGCCAUUACGGGUUGCCCGUGGACGCGCGAAACAAAAGCCUCAUCGACACGACAAUUCAAAUGUUAUCGACGGGAUACACCGCCACGGCAGACGAAGUGUCCGUUAAGACCAUUAUCGGCAAAUCACCAUAUCACCAACUCCUGGCAGAAUUUCCGGACCUCACCCGCCCACCGAUUUUCGGAAAAGAGAGGACCCCACACGGUGUGGUACACCACAUCGAAACCACGCCUGGCCCGCCGGUCUACAACAAAUCCCGCCGUCUCGUACCUGAUCGAAUUAAACAGGUAAAGGAGGAAUUCGAGCUCAUGAUCGAGCAGGGCGUGAUGCGACCAUCGAAAAGCCCGUGGGCAUCACCUCUGCACGUAGUGCCGAAAAAGGACGGAAAUCUGCGACCAUGUGGCGACUACCGUGCGUUGAACGCCCGCACCGUACCCGACGGGUACUCACCGCCACAUAUCGAAGACUUCGAUCGAAGACUUACCAUGCAUCAUCUGCAUGGUAAGCGAAUCUUCUCAAAGAUCGAUCUCGUCCGCGCGUACCAUCAAAUUCCGAUCGCGCCCGAAGACAUCGAAAAAACCGCGAUAACAACACCUUUCGGACUUUUCGAAGCAACAAACAUGAUGUUUGGACUUCGGAAUGCCGCGCAAGCAUGUCAGCGAUUCGUCGACGAAAUCACACGCGGGCUCGAUUUUGUCUACGCGUACAUCGAUGAUUUCCUUAUAGCAUCGGACGACGAAAGUCAACAUCGCGAACAUUUGAAAAUUCUGUUCAACCGCCUCAAUAAUUACGGCGUCGUGAUAAACCCCACGAAAUGCGAAUUCGGCGUGCACGAAAUUACUUUCCCCGGAUACUCGGUAAACUCCGACGGAAUUAAGCCGCCGCCCGAACGCGUCGAAGCAAUUAUAAAAUUGUCGAAACCCGCGAACGCUAAGCAACUACGUAGGUACCUCGGUAUGAUAAACUUCUACCGACGUUUUAUACCGGGGGCCGCAAAAACACUCAAACCGCUCAAUGACUUGUUAAAAGGCGCGAAAAAGGGCAACGCGCCCAUAGAGUGGUCGGAACAGUCGGAAAACAGCUUUCGCAAAUCGCAACGUGCUCUCGCGGAUGCCACGAUCCUGGCGCAUCCGAUACCAAGCGCGUCUAUCAGCCUCACGGUAGAUGCAUCCGACUACGCAAUGGGAGCAGUAUUACAACAACACGCGAAUAACGAAUUGCAACCGCUAGGGUUCGCAACGAAAUCUCUGACCCCCGCUCAGCAAAAAUAUAGCGCGUACGAUCAUGAACUACUCGCAAUAUACAUCGCAAUCAAACACUUUCGACACGCUUUAGAAGGUAGAAACUUCGUAAUAUAUACCGACCACAAACCUCUUACUUACGCGUUCAGACAAAAGUUAGAAAAGUGUUCGCCGCGACAAUUUCGAUAUCUAGACUACAUCGGGCCAUUCAGCACCGAUAUACGUUACAUAAAGGGGCUAGAUAAUAACGUAGCCGACGCUCUGUCACGCAUCGAAGCAAUAGGGAAGGCCGUGGAUCAAACUCUCGCCGCCGCGCAAGAAAAGGACAAUGAACUAAGCGAUAUCGUCAACUCCGGUACAACCGCGUUACGGUUAAAGAAGAUAUGCUUUCCCGGUUAUGACGCAGAAAUAUACUGCGACGUAUCAGCCGACAUUGUAAGACCGUACGUACCGAAAUCCUUGCGGCGCGACGUAUUCAAUUCGCUCCACGGACUUUCCUACCCAGGGAUACGUGCCACGCAAAAGUUGGUGACGUCGCGUUUCAUUUGGCCGUCCGUAAAUAAAGACUGCCGGACUUGGGCACGGCAAUGUAUCCCGUGUCAACGAUGCAAGAUCACCAGGCACGUAUCCUCACCCGUCGGAACGUUCGAAACGGCAGCAGGCCGGUUCGAGCAUAUACACAGACAUUAUCGCGAUGCAAUAUUCGCAAGGCUACCGAUAUUGUCUAUCGUGCAUCGACCGUUUCUCGCGUUGGCCUGAAGCCAUUCCCAUCGCCGACAUGGAAGCGACAACCGUUGCCUCAGCCCUCCUUUCUACAUGGAUAGCUCGUUUUGGCGUGCCUGCAAAAAUAACGACCGACCAAGGACG
rnacentral:lncRNA from 11 species